CGUACACUCCUGCGGGAGGCAGCAGUGGGGAAUAUUGGACAAUGGGCGCAAGCCUGAUCCAGCCAUGCCGCGUGAGUGAUGAAGGCCCUAGGGUUGUAAAGCUCUUUCACCGGUGAAGAUAAUGACGGUAACCGGAGAAGAAGCCCCGGCUACCUUCGUGCCAGCAGCCGCGGUAAUAAGAAGGGGGCUAGCGUUGUUCGGAUUUACUGGGCGUAAAGCGCACGUAGGCGGACUAUUAAGUCAGGGGUGAAAUCCCGGGGCUCAACCCCGGAACUGCCUUUGAUACUGGUAGUCUUGAGUUCGAGAUAGGUGAGUGGAAUUCCGAGUGUAGAGGUGAAAUUCGUAGAUAUUCGGAGGAACACCAGUGGCGAGGGCGGCUCACUGGCUCGAUACUGACGCUGAGGUGCGAAAGCGUGGGGAGCAAACAGGAUUAGAAACCCGGGUAGUCCCAUGAU
rnacentral:rRNA from 1 species